GACGAACGCUGGCGGCGUGCUUAACACAUGCAAGUCGAGCGGUAAGGCCCUUUCGGGGGUACACGAGCGGCGAACGGGUGAGUAACACGUGGGUGACCCGCCCUCAGCUCUGGGAUAAGCCUGGGAAACCGGGUCUAAUACUGGAUAUGACUCCAUGACGCAUGUUGUGGGGUGGAAAGCCUUGUGCGGCUGAGGAUGGGCCCGCGGCCUAAUCAGCUUGUUGGUGGGGUGGAUGGCCUACCAAGGCGACGACGGGUAGCCGGCCUGAGAGGGCGACCGGCCACGACUGGGACUGAGACACGGCCAGACUCCUACGGGAGGCAGCAGUGGGGAAUCUUGCGCAAUGGGCGAAAAGCCUGACGCAGCGACGCCGCGUGAGGGAUGAC
rnacentral:rRNA from 1 species